ACUUUUCUCCCAUUAUACACCACUCUUGCUCUUGCCCCCACGACCACCGGCACUGUCGUUUGCUCUUUUAGAAUUUCACGAAAUCACCCCUACCACCUCCCUCCUCCACCUAGCGGGGUCCCACAAGCUAUCUCCACCGCCGAUCAUACCAGGUUCUCUUAUAUACAUUUAGUUUCUAUUUCAAUUAGUUUUUCCAAGGAUCUAGUUUGUAUUUGAGGAUCAUCGGUACUGAACGUUUACAAGUUUCUAGAUCGACCUUUUUUAUUUAGAAAUUGGAAGAAUGAGUGAAGUAUUUGAAGGAUACGAGCGUCAAUACUGCGAGCUCUCCUCUAAUCUUUCCAGAAAGUGUACCGCAGCUGGUGCUCUUGAUGGAGGUAAAUUUUGUCCUGAAAAAUGUAAACAAUAAGCGUCUUAUUUUGUGGAUUUGUAUCGCUUAACUUUUGAUCUUACUUUAUCGCUUAUCGGUUUCACUAUAAUGUAAUUUUAUUUUAUUUUUUUAAUCUGAUUUCUCCUUUUUAUUUGAGGAUAGUUUUCGGUAUUAAAUUAAGGCUCAAAUUUCCUGUUUUGUGAGGGUUUCAAAUAUGAGAAAUUCUUAGGUAUAAUUAUAAUUAAAUCCUUAAAUUAUGGACGAUGAGAGGUGAUCUGAUUGGCUUAGUGUACUGAUGAUAUAAUAGAUUGAGUCUACCUAAUAAUCCUCUUUCUAUUUGGGUUUCCAUGAUUUUUAUAUGUAUGAGCACUUUUAGCAAUACAUGAAUGGUAGAGUAAGCACUUGCAAUUUGUGUGUGCUUGAAAUUGACAAGCCUAAUGAACUUAACAUUGUCUUGGAGAAGAACUCAUAAUAGUUCUGUGCUUAGCAUUUCUCGUUGAGAUUUUUAUUUAAGUAUUAGUGUAUACUUAAUGAGUAUUAUAAAAGCGAGUGCAACUUUAAAAUUAUAGCAGCACACUGUAGUGCAUAACUUAUACAAACAUAUUUAACAUUUGUUGCCAUGGCAGAAUUUCUUAGCUUCAAUUUAGUGUAUUUUUGAACGUUAUGUCAAAUUAAUAACUGUUUUAUGCGUUUCAAGCUGGUAUAAGUUCUGCAUAUGUGCUUAUGUAGUGCACUAGUUUCAUGUGCAUAUUAUUAUUUUCCUUAAUUCAAACUUUAAAUAUUGAUGUUGAUUCUCUCAUAACAAAGACCUUGCAUGGUUAUUUUGAUUGAAAUACUGGUCAUCAUGCAGAGCAAAAGAAGCAAAAGCUUUCUGAAGUUAGAACUGGGCUGGAGGAAGCUGAAUCUUUGAUUCGCAAAAUGGACCUUGAAGCAAGAAGUUUACAACCAAAUGUUAAGGCUGUCCUUCUGGCUAAGUUGAGGGAAUACAAGUCAGAUCUGAACAAUUUGAAAACUGAAGUUAAAAGAAUUGCCUCUGGUAACCUAAAUCCAGCUGCCCGAGAUCAGCUGUUGGAAUCAGGAAUGGCUGAUGCAUUGAUGGCCUCAGCUGAUCAAAGAUCAAGAUUAAUGGUGUCUACAGAAAGAUUAAAUCAGUCCAGUGACAGAAUUAAGGGAAGUAGAAGAACCAUGCUGGAAACUGAAGAGCUUGGUGUUUCAGUUCUUCAAGAUUUGCAUCAACAGCGACAGUCUUUAUUACAUGCCCAUGAUACGCUUCAUGGAGUGGAUGACAACAUUGGCAAGAGCAAGAAAGUAUUGACUUCCAUGACAAGGAGAAUGAACAGGAACAAGUGGAUUAUUGGUGCUGUUAUUGCAGUCCUUGUUGUUGCUAUUGUCUUGAUCUUGUAUUUCAAACUCAAAUAAGCCAGAAAGUUUAUUCUUGUUGCUCCCUGAGUCUUGUAAGAGGACAUGACUGCCCUUGGUUAUUUGUGUGAGUUUGCCAUUGAGUUCUGAAAUAAACAUUAUUUGCUUUUUAUCUACCACCAAUGUACUUUUCAACCAUUUUUAUCCUGUGGAGUGGAUUUUGGAUAUACCUUAAAUGUAUAUGACCUUUUUGUGUCUACUUUGAUAUCUUUCUGGACAUGAUAGUUGUACAGGAACAAUUGAAAGUUGAUUGAAAAUGGAGAGGUAACAAUUUUAGUGCUG
rnacentral:misc_RNA from 1 species